rnacentral:rRNA from 1 species
GACGAACGCUGGCGGCGUGCCUAAUACAUGCAAGUAGAACGCAGUUGCGAACGGGUGAGUAACGCGUAGGUAACUGCCUAAUAGCGGGGGAUAACUAUUGGAAACGAUAGCUAAUACCGCAUACUGUGAGAUGGACCUGCGUUGGAUUAGCUAGUUGGUGAGGUAAAGGGUCACCAAGGCGACGAUACAGAGCCGACCUGAGAGGGUGAUCGGCCACACUGGGACUGAGCCACGGCCCAGACCCCUACCGGAGGCAGCAGUAGGGAAUCUUCGGCAAUUGACGGAAGUCUUACCGAGCAACGCCGCGGGAGUUAAAAAGGUUUUCGGAUCGUAAAGCUCUGUUGUUAGAGAAGCGUUAACUAACCAGAAAGGGACGGCUAACUACGUGCCAGCAGCCGCGGUAAUUC